GAGCGCAAGUUCAGGAGGCGGUUUGCCCGAUGAGCCCGAGUUUAGCGGUAUGUAUCUCCACGAACUGUCAGUCUGUUCUGUUGCUCGCUGCAAUUGUAUUCCUUAUUUCGAAUUUGUUCAUCUACAACUAUCUUCUCGGAAAAUCUUCUUGUUUUCCAAAUGACUAUUCGAGAAGAAAAGUCUGAAUCUUUGAUUACACACGAAAAUGGUUUGGUCAAUUUGAUUGGAACCCGAAGUUUGGAGGAAUAAGAAGAUUAUUGCAGUUUUUUGAGAUUAUAAGAGAGAUAUCAUAUGGUCAAUUUGUUAAGGCUCGAUGGAUGGAUAAAUAACGCCCUGCAACAGCAUUCGUUCCUCGAAAAUUUUGAGUUUGAAGGACACUCAAACAGCAUAAAAAGGACCAAGCUUAAGAGAACCCCUGCAUUGUUCGAAUUUCAACACAUGAUCUGUCUAGCAGGAGAUGAUGAGGAGAAGGUAGAUACAAUUUUAUUCGGGUUGCAAAAAAUCAGCACCACAAUUUAGAAUCGAUUGGAACAGAGUCAGGACAUGAAGUAUCUCAUAGAGCUCAUAAGUUCGUUAGUCCAUCUGAAUGCAAUGAAAUAAUAGUCCAAAAUUCAGACAUAAGUCGGAACAAGAGUUAUGGAAGUCGCAUCAAAUGUAGCUGUGAACUAUCUCAACAAGAUCGAAAAAAAGAAAGUGCAGCAAUUGUGGAUAACUUGCACGGCAUAAUACACAUACAUGCGCAGAACCCAAAAAGACAGAUGCGGUGUAAGCCUCAGUUUGAUGUAAAUUACAUUCUAUUGUUUCCUUAUAGGUUCACUUUCAUAUAAAGUUGUCAAAGGUAUUAGGUAUGUAAGUUGAUGAUUGUGGAUUGUGAAACAUUGCGCUUAUUGCAAAGGGACAAAGACA